rnacentral:rRNA from 1 species
UACAGAGGUCUCAAGCGUUGUUCGGAUUCAUUGGGCGUAAAGGGUGCGUAGGCGGCGCGGUAAGUCGGGUGUGAAAUCUCGGAGCUUAACUCCGAAACUGCAUUCGAUACUGCGGUGCUUGAGGACUGGAGAGGAGACUGGAAUUUACGGUGUAGCGGUGAAAUGCGUAGAGAUCAUGAGGAAGACCAGUGGCGAAGGCGGGUCUCUGGACAGUUCCUGACACUGAGGCACGAAGGCCAGGGGAGCAAACGGG